rnacentral:lncRNA from 1 species
UCCAUGGGUUAUUUUUGGGGGGUUCAUGGGUUAUUUUGCGGGGGUUCAUUGUUUUUUUGGGGGCUCCUGGGUCAUUUUCUGCAUUCCAUGGGGUAUUUUAGGGGUCCAUGGGUUAUUUUUAUAGGGUUCAUGGGUUAUUUUGGGGGGGCUCAUUGUUUUUUGUGGGGCUCAUGGGUCAUUUUUUUUCAUUCCAUGGGGUAUUUUGAGGAUCCAUGGGUUAUUUUUCGGGGGUUCAUUGUUUUUUGCGGGCUUCAUGGGUUAUUUUUUUCAUUCCACUGGUUAUUUUUUGGGGGGGUUCAUUGUUUUUGGGGGGACUUCAUAGGUUAUUUUUUUCAUUCCAUGGGGUAUUUUUGGGGACUCCAUGGGUUAUUUUGAAGGGGGUCAUGUUUCUUGGAGGGGGUUCAUGGGUUAUUUUUUUUAGGGUUACAUGUUGGGAGGGGGUUAUUUUUUUGGGUUCAAGGGUUAUUUUCUUGGAUUCAAGGGUUAUUUUUGGGGGUUCACGGGUUCUUUUUUGGGACCGGAGGUUAUCUUUAGAAUUCGUGCAUUAUUUUUUGGGGUCCACGGGUUGAUUCUUUGGGAUCAGAGGUUAUUUUUUUGGAUUCAGGGGUUAUUUUGGGGGGUCCAUGUGUUGUUUUUUUGGGUUCACUUUUUUUUUUUUUUUGUGGGGGAUCAUGUUAAUUUUUUUUGUGGUAGGUUCAGGGGUUAUUUUGUGGGGUUCAGGGUUUGUUUUUUGUGCUCAGGGGUUAUUUUAUGGGUUCAGAGGUUAUUUUGGGGGGGGGCUCAGGGAUUAUUUUUGAGGUUCAGAGGUUAUUGUUUUGGGCUCAGGGCUUAUUUUUUUCCCCUCACGGGCUCUUAUUUUCCGUUCCCAAGGGAGCCACGGUGCAGCCCUUGCGGUGCGGGCUUCCUGUUUACCCCAGCGGCCGCUCGGUUGGGGCCGUUGGCGGGGAAACAUCCCUGCUACGGGUAGCCGAGCCGUGCCGAGCCGGUUUUGAGCCGAAUCGGGCCGGUUUUGGCCCAAAUCGGGCCGGUUUGGGGCCGGGUGGGCCCAUUGCAGCCCAGUCCAUUCCAUUCCAGCCUAGUCCGUUCCGUGCGAAUCCGUUCCGGGCUUUCCCAUCCCGCCCCAUCCCGUCCCGUCCCGUCCCGUCCCGAUCCGUUCCGGGCCUUCCUCGCUCCCCCGGGGGCGGAUCGUGACGGGAGGGGGGGGAGGGAGGGGGCGUGGCUAAGCGCGGAGGGGGCGUGGCCUAGCGGGACGCGGAAGGGGCCUCUUGAAACCGCCGCGCGCUGAUUGGCCGCGAGCCCGCCCCGCCCCGCCCCCGCCGGGGCCCGCGGGUGCCUCACAGCCCCCCCCCCCCCCCCCCAAAAGGGGGCGGCGGGGGGGGGGGGGGGGGGGGGAGCGGGAGCUCGGGGCAAUGGCGGCCCCUGGCGGCCCCGGGCGGGGCGGGCGCUGCGUGAGGGAGCCCUGAGGGAGCCCUGAGGGGGCCGUGAGGGCUCUGUGAGGGCUGUGAGGCCCUGUCAGUGUGUCCGCACCACAACACACCACACCACGUCACUGUGUCCCAUAGCACGGCCCAUCCCCACCUCACACCGUCCCCACAGCCCGUCCCCACAGCCCACCGCCGCCACAGCCCGUCCCCACGCCCCGUCCUACAGGCAACGGCCUCACGCUGUGCCAGGGAGGCUCAGGGUGGGAAUUCGGGGAUGUUUCUCCUCACAAAAUGCGGCCAGGCACUGGGACGGGUUGCCCAGGGGGGUGGUGGUGCCACCGUCCCUGGGGGUGUUCAAGGAGAGUUGGAUGUGGUGCUUGGGGACGGGGUUUGGUGGUGACAUUGGUGGCAGGGGAUGGUUGGACCCAAUGAUGUAGGAUUUCCAACCCUAAUGGUUCUGGGAUUCUAGGGUUCCACCCCACCACCCCACCCAUCCCACCCCAGCCCUACUGCAGCCACCAUAUCCCACCAGACCACCACAGC